CUUUUGAAUUCUUUAAGGAUAUGUCGUUUUUAAUGACAUCUUUUAGAUGGAUGAUUCGUGUAAAUAUGCUAGUUCUUUCAUGAUUAUGUGAUAGGUGGUGCAUGGCCGUUCUUAGUUCGUGGAGUGAUCUGUCUGCUUAAUUGCGUUUCACUAAGGCCCCAAAGUUAGCAAAUUAUCAAUCGUUACAGAGUCGACCCCUCACCUUUGAGUGCGCGUCCUAACUUGUAGUACAUGGUGUAAAUGGAUUUGUUUUGGGUACCCAGAAAGCAACGAACGUGACCGCAACGUCUUGUUGUCUCUCUUUGACAGUUAUGGGUUAUCCCAGUCAUGUGUUUAUACUUUUAUGUGUAAAUACGUACGACACAGAGACUAGAUACCAAACUAGGCGUACCGCUGUAUCAUUUCUUUAAACCAGAGGAAGGUUGCGGCAAUAACAG
rnacentral:rRNA from 1 species